rnacentral:misc_RNA from 1 species
AAUGUCGUAACAAGGUUUCCGUAGGUGAACCUGCGGAAGGAUCAUUAGAAUGAGAGCCGGGACCAUGUCGUGGGCCGAAAUGCCCAAAGCGUGCCAGUAAGCGCCCGGUAAACCCUCCACCCUUGUAUAUUAUUCUUUGUUGCUUUCGGUGGGCCCGCAAGGCCCUUCGGGAUGAGCACCGGCUUCGGUCUGGAGAGUGCCUGCCAGGAGGAUCCAACUCUGUAAUUUAGUGAUGUCUGAGUACUAUUAAACUAGUUAAAAU